rnacentral:rRNA from 1 species
GGAAAAGAAACCAACAGGGAUUGCCCCAGUAACGGCGAGUGAAGCGGCAACAGCUCAAAUUUGAAAUCUGGCCCCCAGGGCCCGAGUUGUAAUUUGCAGAGGAUGCUUUUGGCGCGGUGCCUUCCGAGUUCCCUGGAACGGGACGCCAUAGAGGGUGAGAGCCCCGUCUGGUCGGACGCCUAGCCUGUGUAAAGCUCCUUCGACGAGUCGAGUAGUUUGGGAAUGCUGCUCUAAAUGGGAGGUAUAUGUCUUCUAAAGCUAAAUACCGGCCAGAGACCGAUAGCGCACAAGUAGAGUGAUCGAAAGAUGAAAAGCACUUUGAAAAGAGGGUUAAAUAGUACGUGAAAUUGUUGAAAGGGAAGCGCUUGUGACCAGACUUGGGCCCGGUGGAUCAUCCAGCGUUCUCGCUGGUGCACUCCGCCGGGUUCAGGCCAGCAUCAGUUCGCCGCGGGGGAAAAAGGCUUCGGGAACGUGGCUCCUACGGGAGUGUUAUAGCCCGUUGCAUAAUACCCUGGGGCGGACUGAGGUUCGCGCUCCGCAAGGAUGCUGGCGUAAUGGUCAUCAGCGC